rnacentral:rRNA from 1 species
CUGCCCUAUGGGUUGUAAACUUCUUUUAUAAAGGAAUAAAGUCGGGUAUGCAUACCCGUUUGCAUGUACUUUAUGAAUAAGGAUCGGCUAACUCCGUGCCAGCAGCCGCGGUAAUACGGAGGAUCCGAGCGUUAUCCGGAUUUAUUGGGUUUAAAGGGAGCGUAGAUGGAUGUUUAAGUCAGUUGUGAAAGUUUGCGGCUCAACCGUAAAAUUGCAGUUGAUACUGGAUAUCUUGAGUGCAGUUGAGGCAGGCGGAAUUCGUGGUGUAGCGGUGAAAUGCUUAGAUAUCACGAAGAACUCCGAUUGCGAAGGCAGCCUGCUAAGCUGCAACUGACAUUGAGGCUCGAAAGUGUGGGUAUCAAACAGGAUUAGAUACCCUGGUAGUCCACACGGUAAACGAUGAAUACUCGCUGUUUGCGAUAUACGGCAAGCGGCCAAGCGAAAGCGUUAAGUAUUCCACCUGGGGAGUACGCCGGCAACGGUGAAACUCAAAGGAAUUGACGGGGGCCCGCACAAGCGGAGGAACAUGUGGUUUAAUUCGAUGAUACGCGAGGAACCUUACCCGGGCUUAAAUUGCAGAUGAAUUACGGUGAAAGCCGUAAGCCGCAAGGCAUCUGUGAAGGUGCUGCAUGGUUGUCGUCAGCUCGUGCCGUGAGGUGUCGGCUUAAGUGCCAUAACGAGCGCAACCCUUGUUGUCAGUUACUAACAGGUUCCGCUGAGGACUCUGACAAGACUGCCAUCGUAAGAUGUGAGGAAGGUGGA